GCAAGCUUUUGGAAGGGUCCCGCUCACGAGGCACAAACUUCACCAGUGCCAGGAAUGGCCUCUAAGGAAAGUAGGACAGGAUUGGCAGAAGCCCCUUAUGCAUGGCUGGCUCCCUCUAACCAAGCUGCUGGGCGCUAAAGGCCUCUCUGGCUUUGGGAAAUGCUGCCAGACGGGAGAUAAAAGGGCAAAGGGCAGGAGGGCCCAGAGAAGAGCAGCCAUCCUGCCCUCCCCUCCCCAACUGGCUCUUACCAUUGGCUCAGAGGAAGUCCUCUUAGCUCUGGGGUGGUCCCGGUUUGCCCUUCAGAGAAGUGGGCACGACCGCUUCCACCAGCCUACCUGUCUUGCGGAGGUAUUGAUUUUACCAAGCCUUGUUUUCCACCAACCCUAGGGUGCGGGGCCUCAGGUGACAACCUGAAUGGAAACACCCAAUGGAAAAGCAUACCCGGCUGGAGGCUGUGAGGAGAGGGCAAGGUGAACCAAGACAUAACAGCCAGAGGGAAGAAAGGAACAUCUGGAAAACAUCAGUGCUGUGCCUACGGAAACUGAGCAUGCCUGGAAAAGGGCCAGAUGUCCACAGAUGUCCACCAGGGGCUCUGAGGAACCGCGCCAUGGCCAGUUGCUACACAAAUGAGACAACUUCCGUCAAUCUAUAGCUGGGGUGAAGCAGCACCUUUUCAAAGAUAGGUGAUGAUUAUGCAAAUGAGGUCAGCCCAGCUUCCACAUCCGUUUGCCCCAAGCAGAACGACUUUCUCUCCUCCUUCAGAAAGCGCCCCUUUAUGUAAUAUUCACUAGAUGUCCUUUCACAAACCCAAGUGCAUGCACACCUCCUCAGGUCUGGCAAGUACAAGUCCUUAAUCCCCUGCUUGCUUUUACAUGGGUUCACAGAACGGCCUGCAGGUCAGCCAAGGAGAACAAAUGCUGAGUGAACGGUUUGAACACCACCACAGCAGCCCGGUAAUCAACUUAGCAUCCUGUUAACAGCCCCGCUGAUCUUUGAACAUUCACCGGGAGCCUCGAGAAAACGCCAGAGAAAUUUGUUUUUAUUCGAAUACAGUCCAGCAGUCACCUUGGGGAAGAAUGUUCGGAUCUAAUUCAAGAGCACUGGAUGCCCAGCUUAUUUAAAAAGACUGUCUGUACACGAUAAGCAUUCCAUAGCCACUGGCAUAACCCCAGAGCCAUCUGCCCUGGGCAAACGACUCUGCUUCAGCCUCCAACUUGCAAAAUCAUGGCAACGGAUGGCAGGAUGUCUAGGGUUCUCUUUGCCUCGUGCUACUUCCAAAUGAAUGCUUGGUAGUGUUGAUUUUUGCUAGGGCUUUAUUCAAAGAGGGUUGGGCUAGCCACAGUGACUAAUGCUCCGGUACACCAUAGUGAUCUGCUACUUCCUCUCAGACCUAUUCACUUUCUGUCUUGAGAAGAUCAGGUUCAUGGAUCGUAGGCUGGUUUGAAAUUUGUAUAUGACCAAGUAUGGCCUUGAACUUCUGAUUCUCCUGCUGUCAUGCUCAAUGUUCUGGGAUUAUAGGCUUGAACUACCACAUCUAUUCUAUGUGGGUCUGGAGAUGGAACCCAGUACUUUAUGAAUUCUAGGCAAGCACUUUACCAGCUGAGCUAUAUCCUCAGUCCCCUAUUUACUCCUGUAUGUUUAAGAGACAGUCCAGCAUCCUUACUUGGGCAAUAAGCUCAGAAUUCACAUUAACCAUCCAUUAUAAAAUGCCUAAUAUAAAAUAGCAACUCAGUUGGCAACAUCUCUGAACUAGAAGAAGGCAUACUGUGAUAUACUGUUGCAUUCCACACCUGUGUAAUAAUGGAGCUGUCCCACCUCUAUCAAUGGGAGAACUACAAAGGUUCUAAUGAUUUAUCCAUCCAUUCAGACAUUACCCAAUAUUUACACAGGUCACAUAUAAAUGGGUCUUCCUUAGCUGGAGCUUCCGCCUAUAAUUUUGAUAAAUCUGGACCCCAGAUUAAGUGAAUUCCUCUCAAGGCACUUGGUUCUGUGAAAAACCUAUUAAUACCAACCCAACUGAACUGAGUCUUAGUAAGUCAACUGAAUCUCAUGCAACAGGACAAGGCUCCUUUGAAUCACACUCCAGUGAAGCGGUUUUUAAAAGAGGGGGUGGCUGCAGCCUGGGCUUCAGGCCCUUUGGCUUACAGAGACCCCGAUGCCUCUGAAGAACCAAGUAGGUUGGAGACUUCUCAGCUCAGAAGGCCAUUGAGCGGAAGUGGCUCUUCAGGAGUGUCACGCUAUCACAUUCCCCAGCAGACUCAAGGAGAGUCUGGUCAUCUGCGGUGGAAACCAGAGAACCCCUCGCACUGGCUGGCUGACUGUAGCUGCAUGCAAUCUGAGAUGCUUCUGCAACUUUCCAGCGCUGGCCGGCCCGCACACAUCUGUGAUUGAUUACUGGGAUGCGUUCAGAAGCCAGGGACUCUGCCUGGGACCUCCAGCGAUAAUCUCUUCUCUCUCCUUUGUGUUCACUUUGAGGGGUAGAGAACUACACCAAGACAGGUUGAGGAACGAAUCCCGAAUGGUUACAUCUGAGCAGAGAAGAGGGUUUUUAAUGCAAGUUUCUGUACAAAAUUUUGAAAUCCCAAAAUGUCGUGCUCCACAUGUGGAAAUUUGAAUUCAGACACUUAGCCUGAGAUCUGUUUGGCAGUUUAACCUACGUCCAGUUGUCGCAAUCUGAUUUUUACAUCAGAUUUUGGACGUGAGCAGCAUCCAGGAGGGUUUGACCAUGUGCCAGGUGGUCACAGUUUAAGGGAGAGAAAGGCUUGUAGAGAAACCCCGGGAUAGGAUGGGCUUUCCAGGCACAGUGGCCAAGGCUGGACAGACACACUCAGCAGGCGGUAAAAUGUGAACUGAAGCAGAACUUAUCCAAACAAGCUUGCGGGGGAGAGGAGAGGCUCCUUUUCUGCCAUGGAUCAGAAGUUUUUCCACUUGAAUAGGUCUGGCUCUGAACCCGGUUUAUGUGGCCAGCCCUUAAAGAAGAGCUAUAGAAAUGUGUGCCAGUUACACCUCAGAGUAUGGGGUGCAAGCUCUGACUGUCUCCCCACCUGGCCGUGUCCAUGCUACAGAAUGUAAUAUUAAGCCCGUUAAUUUUGUAGAAUGGAGUCAAAAAUCACUAACUUUCUCAAUCUGAAAUCUAUUUCCACUGACUUUUUUUUUAACUACUGAAUUCAGUAAAAUCCCCUUACAUGCCAUUUAGUUAUUUUUUUUUUUUCCAACGUCAACGAUACAUGGUCAUUUCAAAGAGAUGCAAAUAACAGUAAAGUAGCACCUGGGCCACAGUGCAACCUAAUUUUAUCCUGGAAAAUAUGAUGAUGUAGGGCUGGGACUUUACUGCUCCCCUCCUGACCCUCUCUCUUCACCUCUGCCUGGCCUUUCACCCUGGUUAGCCCUUAUACAUGAAGGGUGAAUGUUACAUUCAAGGCUAUGUAGCUUUUAAAAAACUGAUAGACACGCCUAACAGAUGGCUCAGCAGUAAAAGGUGCUUGUCACCACACCUUACGACUCGUUCAAUCCCUAGAGCCCAUAUGGUGGAAGGAGAGAACUGAAUUCCUCACAUGGUCCUCUGACCUCCAUGUGCACACACCACACACUCUAAAUAAAGGUAAGAUGAAGAAAGAAUAGCCAUAAAAAUGUUGACAUAAUAACUGAAUGUCUUCAUGGAGCACACUGUGAUGUCUUAGUACAUUGUAUGUUGAUCAACAAAAGACACUUAGACCAUCCAUCCUUGUCAAUAUUUUUCAUUUCUUUGUAUUGAGAACAUUCAAAAAACCUUCUCGUCUAGUUAUUUUGAGCUACCCAUCUUCCCAUUGCAAAAUCGUUCUAAAAAGAAGCCCACUCUAGCUGGGAGGCAGCACUCACCGAGUGACUCUCAGACAAGUUAAGAGAUGGGAGACCAGUCUUCAGUGACUUCCUAGGAGGUCUCCAAAAUUAGCAUUGACUCUAUACAAUUUUUACUUGACACAUGACUCUAAUGCAUUCCUAACUAAAUCAGCACCUUAGGUUCCCGUUAGUUAGAGUAGUAUGGCCUAACGUUGCUGAUAAGGACCCAGAGCUGUAGCUCUGAGAUAUUCACAUUGGGUGUCCAUGUAUCUCCCUCAGGGCAUUGCAAUAACUCCCAAGGGUGCCUUGGAAUAUUAGAUUGAGGCUGGAGAGGGGAAGAGAAUAACAUCCAGUGUCUCAGGCUAUUCUGAAAGAGCAGCUAGUGAUCUUACCCUCUGAGCCAUCUUUUCAGCUCCUCUAUUCUAAGAGAGAGAGAGACAGACAGACAGACAGACAGAGACUGCUACAGUGUUUCCUAGCUAACUUUUCGUUUAAAUCUUUGUGUUCAAAUAAACGCAUAGUUUCCUGAUUGGACACUGACUAAUAUUCAGUACCAUAUACACCAUUAGCAAUGCAUCAGUGUUUGCUCAAGCUUGUUCACAGCUUAAUGUCACAUUGUGCUGUUUUUCACAUGAUGACACCAUUUCUUUCCAAAGAUAGGUGAUAAACAAGAAUUCUGUGAAUGGGAACACAGAACAGGAAGUUAGGGUUGCAGGACGCUAUCAGAACUCAAGGUUGGCAAAGUUGUGAGGUGACUCAUGACAGACCCCCUCACUUCACAUUCCAAGCCUGUCCUUCAUUACCUGCUGUGAGAAACUCAGGGGCCUUUGUCCAGUGUUUCUUCUGCAGCUGAUAGAAUUCUGCAUUUAUUCAGUGGAUGGCACUUCUUAAAAUGUAUAGAAAGAAGUUCCCUUCUGGGACUUGGUGCUUGCCUUCUGUGGGUGUCCUGAGCAGCUAGCUCCUUAGCAGACACUUCAUCAGCUGGCUCCCAUUGUGCAUCUGAUUGACUGGCACCACCUGGCCUCAGGCAGUUAGUUCCUUCUGGCAUCCCCCUUCAGGUGAUGGACAAAUGUCUCAAGUGAGAAAAUUCCUCGUGAACAGCAGUCCUCAGCAGCUUAGAGGAUGACUUUCCAGCAAGUUCCGCCAGCACACCCAACACCCUAGUGACUUGGCUUCCGCUCAGCGAGCCAAUAUCUGGAGUGGAGGAAGCUGUUCUCUCUCGUUUGCUAGCAAUCUCUGUAUUUCCUACCAGCCAGUCACCACCAGAGUUAAUAUUUCCUUUUAAUAGAUUCAUUUCUCUUUACCACGUUUAUCACUGUGGUGAAACACAUGGCAUAAAAAUGAUCAUUGCGGGGCUGGAGAGAUGGCUCAGCUGUGAAGAGCACUGGCUGCUCUUCCAGAGGUCCUGAAUUCAAUUCCCAGCAACCACAUGGUGGCUCACAACCAUCUGUCAUGAGAUCUGGUGCCCUCUUCUGGCCUGCAGGCACACAUAUACAUAACAAAUAAAUCUUUAAAAAAUUGUCAUUGCAACCAUGAAAAUGUUUAGAUUAGUGACAAUAAGUACAUUCAUAUGUUUGUAUAGCUAUCAUCACUAUACAUCUUCAGAAUAUUUUAAAUCUUGGAAACUAUUUAAUGGGCUACUUUCUGUCUCUAGACUGGCUAUUCUCAGUAUCGUACCUAAGUAGGUUAAACAGUGUUGAUGUUUUUGUGACUGACGGGCUUUCUUCAUUGACCUUCAGCCAUGCCAAGAAACGUGUCUGAAUCUCCUUUUGAAGGCUGAGUAAUAUUCCACAUCACCCCUGUAACAUAUUUUGGGUUGUUCCCGCCUAUUGCUACUGCUAUGAAUAUAGAUGCAUGGAUAUAUUUUUGACACUGUUUGCGAAUAUUUUUGUUAUGUAACCAUAAAUGGACUUGCAGGACUAAGUGUACGUGUGUUUGUGUGAGUGUAUGCCACCCUGUGUAUAGAUACCCAUGGCAGCCAGAGGAGGAAGUCCGAUCCCCUGGAGCCGGAGUUACAGGAAGUUGUGAGCCAUCAAUGUGUGUGUUGGGAAUCAAACACAGGUAUUCUGAAA